UACGGAGGGUGCAAGCGUUAUCCGGAUUCACUGGGUUUAAAGGGUGCGUAGGUGGGUUGGUAAGUCAGUGGUGAAAUCUCCAGGCUUAACUUGGAAACUGCCAUUGAUACUAUCAAUCUUGAAUACCGUGGAGGUCAGCGGAAUAUGUCAUGUAGCGGUGAAAUGCUUAGAUAUGACAUAGAACACCAAUUGCGAAGGCAGCUGGCUACGCGGAUAUUGACACUGAUGCACGAAAGCGUGGGGGAUCAAA
rnacentral:rRNA from 1 species